rnacentral:rRNA from 1 species
AGCCCUUCCAGAAGGUAUCCUUCUGGCAAGGGUACUGUACUAAACUAACUAAAGUGGGGGAUAGUGAGGGGAUAAAUUUUCUUAAGGAACUCGGCAAAAUCCCAAUGGCCCACCAGGGCAUAUUGGAACACGGGCCUCGACUGUUUACCAAAAACAUAGCCCUCGGCUAAUAUGAAAAUAGAUGUAUAGAGGGUGAUGCCUGCCCAAUGGUUGUAUCUAAAAGCGGUUGAUAAAAGUUGACCUCGUAAGGACAAUUGAAUGGCCGCGGUAACACUGACCGUGAUAAUGUAGCGUAAUCAAUAGCCAAUUAAUUGUUGGCCAGUAUGAAUGGCGCCACGAAGGCCCCACUGUCUUAAGGAAAUUCCCAGUGAAAUUGAAUUCGUAGUGAAGAUGCUACGUCCAAUUUGUUAGACGAAAAGACCCCGUUGAGCUUUACUGGAGCACUUACAUGGCCCCGGCCUUCCCAUGCCUGGGAACCGGCCGAAUUUAAAUGGGCGGCUUAGAUUAUGUGGCAGCCCCCCGCUGGGGCAAAUGAAACACCACUCCCCCAUGUCAAAGGGGCUAACCCCCCCCCCUUGGGGGGACAGUGUAAGUAGGACAGUUUGGUUGGGGCGACCACCUUUUAAAAAGUAACGAAGGUGCGCUUAAGGUGCGCAAUUAAUGACUGAAGCCUGACUGCGAGGGGGACACCCCGAGCAGACACCCCAAAGCCCGCCCGAAAGGCGGCGGUGGGGUGGGCCAUAGUGACCCGUUAAUUUAGAGUGGAAUAGUUAACGAUCAACGAAUAAAAGUUACCACGGGGAUAACAGCGUAAUAUCGUUAGAGAGUUCACAUCGACGACGAUGUUUGCGACCUCCAUGUUGAAUUGCGGCAUCCUGGGGUGCAGCCGCUC